UACGGAGGAUCCAAGCGUUAUCCGGAUUUAUUGGGUUUAAAGGGUGCGUAGGCGGAUUGAUAAGUUAGAGGUGAAAUGUCCGAGCUCAACUCGGGAACUGCCUCUAAUACUGUUGAUCUAGAGAGUAGAUGCGGUAGGCGGAAUGUAUGGCGGAGCGGUGAAAUGCUUAGAGAUCAUACAGAACACCGAUUGCGAAGGCAGCGCACCGGCGCCCUACUGACGCUCAGGCACGAAAGCGUGGGUAUCGAACAGG
rnacentral:rRNA from 1 species